CCUACGGGAGGCAGCAGUGGGGAAUUUUGGACAAUGGGCGCAAGCCUGAUCCAGCAAUGCCGCGUGCAGGAUGAAGGCCUUCGGGUUGUAAACUGCUUUUGUACGGAACGAAAAGGCUCUGGCUAAUACCUGGGGCUGAUGACGGUACCGUAAGAAUAAGCACCGGCUAACUACGUGCCAGCAGCCGCGGUAAUACGUAGGGUGCGAGCGUUAAUCGGAAUUACUGGGCGUAAAGCGUGCGCAGGCGGUUUUGUAAGACAGGUGUGAAAUCCCCGGGCUUAACCUGGGAACUGCACUUGUGACUGCAAGGCUGGAGUACGGCAGAGGGGGAUGGAAUUCCGCGUGUAGCAGUGAAAUGCGUAGAUAUGCGGAGGAACACCGAUGGCGAAGGCAGUCCCCUGGGCCUGUACUGACGCUCAUGCACGAAAGCGUGGGGAGCAAACAGGAUUAGAUACCCUGGUAGU
rnacentral:rRNA from 1 species